CACAGAUUACUCGCCUCCUAUUUAAGUCUCCUUUCCGCCACUGCAGUCUAAAGUUACAAACUGCACGCGCUGCACUUCCAAUUCAGACAUCAUCACAGCCGAACCUCUCUGAGCCGACAGGAUGAGUUCACGUGUUCUGAAGAUUAAAGAUGGGAGGUUGGUGAAAGCCUUGAAAUUUGAAGAUGGAUUCAAGCUGUGUGCUGUUGACUCCCAAACAAAUGAUGAUAUGGUCUACAUAGAGAAACACCGCUCAAACAACUGGAUAGCUUUUAAAUUCAAUCUGAUGGGGGAAGACUAUUUCCUAAAGGGGAAUAAACACUCCCUUGAGCUGGUUCCGCUGGAUCAGCUGGAUAGUGACUCAGUGGAGUACUGGUUUCAGAAGCACAACUAUGGAGGCAGCGAACACUACAGUCUCAAAACUGUGCGUCAACCGCAAAAAUACGUCUGCAUAUCUCAGAAAGGCAGACGAUGGUUUUUCAGCCUCAGUGACACCAAGCGGGGUUUGGCUGAAGUCAAAGAUGAGGCAAAGUAGAUGUAUGCAUUCGCCAACAGCCUUUUGCACACAUUUACUGCAGUCUGUUCUGUCUACAAACUAAAGAGGAAGACAGUUUAUCUUUAGCUGAAUCCAAGCAGAACUCUCUCUUCCUGCUGUGCUUUGAUAAAGUAGCUGGACUAACUAGAGCUACAAACUGGAGAUUAGUCUGGCUGGCUAAUUUUGUAUUCUUGGUAUAGGGGGAAAAAUGCUUUGGUAGUUGGGUUGGGUGGUAAAAGCACAAAAUAAAACUUUGCUCUUUUUUUCAUAUUGUAAACUACAGGUGGUGCAAAGCGAUGAGACUACUGGCCAAUCUCAAAGAAACUGUACAAACAUUGUCCAUAUGUUUUUUUAAAAAGAAUUUAUUACAAAUCCCAAUUCUUUAGAUUUUUGUAUUCAUCGUUCCCCUGUGAUUGCAAUAUACACUCUCUGUUUGUUUCACAUGCCACGCUCAGCGACAAAAGUUUGUUCUUGGCACCACAACAAACAUAGUGAAGAAUUCGGAAAAAGCAGGUUUUUGUACGAUAUGAGUUUUUAGCCCCUAAUAUGAUCAGACACUGUGGCGCCCGAAAUUGGUGUGAAACUUGUUUUUGUUCUAUGGAAAAGUUCACAGCUACACACCUAAAAUGAAUUUCCUGGUCUCACACUUUGAAAUGUUUGGCUUGAAUAACAAAGGAAACAACUGCAGCAGAAUUUAUCAUGAUAAGAAAUGAAGGGGGGCAAAAGCAUGCAGAGUGGCUGCAGUACACGAGGUUUUUUAGAGGUUUGACGACCCUGGCAAAAAGUUCUUAGUUAUUACUGCCGUCAGUAAUAUGUGGCGCACCAAGGAAUGUGGUCUACUGUUGGUUUGUGUUGUGUUGGGUCUUUUUCCUUCGCUCCUGCAUUUUGUCUUGAGAAGACAAGAAUCAUAAAAGAUAAACAACUUCUGUUUUGUAAGGUGGAAAAUAAAGUGUAAAAACGCCCCUGC